rnacentral:rRNA from 1 species
AUGAUGCCCAGCUUGCUGGGUGGAUUAGUGGCGAACGGGUGAGUAACACGUGAGUAACCUGCCCCUGACUCUGGGAUAAGCGUUGGAAACGACGUCUAAUACUGGAUAUGAUCACUGGCCGCAUGGUCUGGUGGUGGAAAGAUUUUUUGGUUGGGGAUGGACUCGCGGCCUAUCAGCUUGUUGGUGAGGUAAUGGCUCACCAAGGCGACGACGGGUAGCCGGCCUGAGAGGGUGACCGGCCACACUGGGACUGAGACACGGCCCAGACUCC